GACGAACGCUGGCGGCGUGCUUAACACAUGCAAGUCGAACGGAGCGAAUGAAAGCUUGCUUUUAUAAGCUUAGUGGCAAACGGGUGAGUAACACGUAGACAACCUGCCGACAGGAUGGGGACAACAUUCCGAAAGGAAUGCUAAUACCGAAUGAAGUGCAGGGGAGGCAUCUCCCCUGCAUGAAAGAUGGCCUCUUUUUAUGCUAUCACCUGUUGAUGGGUCUGCGUCUGAUUAGCUAGUAGGUGAGGUAACGGCUCACCUAGGCGACGAUCAGUAGCCGGUCUGAGAGGAUGAACGGCCACAUUGGGACUGAGACACGGCCCAGACUCCUACGGGAGGCAGCAGUGGGGAAUCUUCCGCAAUGGGCGCAAGCCUGACGGAGCAACGCCGCGUGAGUGAAGAAGGUCUUCGGAUCGUAAAGCUCUGUUGAUGGGGACGAACGUGCCUAAUGCGAAUAGUUUUAGGCAAUGACGUACCCAUCGAGGAGCC
rnacentral:rRNA from 1 species